rnacentral:lncRNA from 1 species
GAUGCACCAAACAUAGAGAGAGAUAUCGAGUGAGCGCCGCUGUGCGGGAUCGGCCGCCGCCGCCAUACCCAUUCUCCACGGGUGUAGCAGAGUGAAGCUUGAGGAUAGCCGGAGACCGUUGUGGUGCUCCCAUGAGUGAAAUAGAUGCUUCCCUGGUGCGGAUUGGCGCUAGAGUCCGACGGGAAUUCCUCAUCGAAGAAGUUGUGGCCGUUGUGGACGUGACUCACCGUGGAUGAGGCUCAUCACAACGGAAUCCCCGGUAAGAACAUCAUGCCCAGAAUCGCCUUCAUACCCGUAUCAUGUGGACCGAUUUAAUUGAGAUUUAGUGUGCGUAAUUCGGAGGUUAGCCUAUCGGCGUGAGACCUCACCGUGGCGGCGGUAGUGCCGUGACCUGGUCUGCCCGUGGAGAAGAUGUGCCUCCGCCGUCCGAUUUUCUUCGAAUGGCCAGGAUUAGAAGAUAGACACCCCUUCGCCCAUUUGAAGCUUAGUCGUUGGAUCACGGGUGUGGGGUUUAGAUCGAGCUAGGACGUGGCUGUCCCUUAACCGUUGAUAUCGGAUCUGAUGGUCAGGGCGGGUUGCAACGUGUUACUGCGCCGUGUUCUAAUCUCGUCCGAUCGGGUGUGAUCGGACGGCUCUGGCCUACCGAUACCCCUUUGCGGUUGUUGCUUUGCGAAUGAGCCCCCGCGAAAGAUAUAAAUUAAACCGCAGUCCCACGCCUGAAGUUUUGUGUCUUAAGGUCUUUUGCAUAGUAACCCCUGCCUUUCUCGGUAAUCUUGUGCGCGGUCCAGGGGAGUAGAAAAUCAGUGAAAAUGAUUUAUAAAAUGAAUUUCUUAUAUAAAAACAAUUCCAGAAUCUUAUUUAAUCCUUAGAAAAUGCAUAUGAUGUCCAAAUUAGUUCAUUCCAAUUUCGAUAAUUCUAUAAUAUUAUUGUUUAUCGCAUAGUGCCACUAUUUGACAUGAAAAUUGUAUUAAAAUUAAUCUCUUGGUUAAUCUUGUAUUGAAUACAUAAAACCUUAGGAAAUUCAUAACUCCUCUGUUUUAACUCUAAUUUGAUCCAUUCAAGUUGCGUUAGUCUCGUAUAAAUAUUUACUAUGCAAUAACAACAUUUAUUAUACCAUGUCUCAUUCUUCUAUAAUUAGAUCUUUAUUUAACUUAUGUUGGUUAAACUGCUUAUCAAUAUAAUCUACUAGAAUAUGAUCUAUGCUCAAUUUAUAACUUAGAUUAAAGUUUAGAUAAUUAUUAUAGAAUAACCUCUCAUAUGAUUUACACUAACCAAUUUAUAAUAUAGUUUAGUAUUUUAAUCACACAUAUCUUCUAUAAAAUCAUAACUCCUUAACCGUAACUCCGAUUUUAGUGGUUCUCGUUCCCGCGAUCACGUAGCUUCGCGUAGAUCAUUAUUAUUCAGUUUGUCCUUAUGUUUGGUGUGAUGUUAAUUUUGUCUAUACCAUACUUGUUUGUGUUGCUAUGACUAGCAGUGCAUUCACGGGGAUCCGAAGAAUCACCCUGGUAACUGGAAUUUCAAGUGUAAGGCAAGUUGUGCCCUUGAUCACUUUCAUUUACCCAAUAAUGUUCUUUAUUAUCACUUAUCAAUGCAUAGGUUUAGUUUUGAUGGGACCCAAUAGCUAGGUCACCCUAGUCUAUUUAUACUUUUUACCUUGUUUACCCCUGAAUCAUUUGGGUAGCUAUGCUAUUGCUUUAUAUGGUUUUGGGAUAAUAUUUCAUUGCAUUCAUGUUCUAAUUAUUCUGUUAUGUUAUUUAUGUUCAUGAUAAGAUCAUUAUGUUAAUGGGAACAUGGAGGACCACCCGGGAAAACAGUGCUACCACAAGGGUAGUAUGGGAUGCCCUUGGCUGAUUAAUUAGGAAAUCUAGUGGAUGACUUCCUUACCCGAAAGGGGCAAGGGCAGUAGGGGAGUGGUUAGUGUAGGGAGGUCCUUGGGUUGAUUUUGCUGCGAUGGCGGUCAGGCGAGGGAUUUCUGCACAGGAGCUUCCUAUAACUGUAGCGGGAUUUCUGAAGCUAGUGGAACUUUGUAAAGGCCUCAUAGUGUUACCCUGCCUCGCCUCCUCGGAGAGGUGUAUGGGAUUGGUCGUCUCUUGGCAGAUGGGUAACAUGACUUGUGGGUAAAGAUGCGCAACCUCUGUAGAGUGUAAAACUGGUAUACUAGCCGUGCUCACGGUCAUGAGCAGCUCGGACCCUCACAUGAUUAAUCUAUGGAAUUAAAACUUAAUUUGUCAUUUGCAUCGCAUUGGGAUUAUUGUAUUAUUACUUUUACUAGGAACGUGCCCGUGCGAUGCCACGGAACACAAAUUGCGACCCUCCAAAGGACUUAGGGCCCUAGCGACGGGCGGCGUGAGUACAAUAGUGACGGCAAAAUCUGUGAUUAAACAUCAUCUAUUGUUGUGAGUAUAAAUGUAAACUUAGUCUGUUUACCUAUCGAAACAAUGCUAUGUCAGUCCAUACUAAAACUCACAGAAAUUGCAUGAAAGAAUUUAUACAGCACAAGUUUGCUAGAUACCAAAAUAUAUUUUCCUAUGACUGAUGAAAACUGGAGAACGUUGCCUAAAACCUACAAUCUAGAACAUUCAGAACCUCGAAGAGCAACCUAAGAUUGUGAUGAAGAGAAGGAAGCCUCAACUGUCAGGAUGAGUUGGAAGAAGCGUGAGCAAGGAGUCCUUCACCGCCCGGCCAUGGUCGCCGAGGCCGACGGCCCCCUCCACCGUUGAUAUGAUCUUUGGCACCGAAAUCCCGCCUAAGGGGAUGCUUUAUAAAUUUGUCUCGCACUCUAGUUGUUUAGUUUUUUGUUGUGUAAUGGUUUUUUAAUUAAUCUAAUUAUUAUUUAAACACCCGGUGCGACACAAAAUUUAGUCCUUAGAACCCAACAACUCAGUAAAUCCACUUUCCAAGCGCUGACAGCAACGAACGAGACAUCCAUGCUUGAACUCACGGUGUCACAGGAAUCUGAAACACUUAUACUAGAGUACUACACACAAUACUCCAUCCAUAGGCUGGAUCCACUGAUUUUAGGCCGUGCAGAGCUCGCGCGAGAAACCGACGCGGCCAUUGGCGAUGUCGAACAACACGCGGUGGUUCUACUGCUGCAUGCUGGCCAGCAUGUUGAGCACAGCGUCGACACCGUUCGACGGUCCCGCAGCCAUGGCCAGGCACGCGAUGCCGUCCGAGGAGCUUCGGAUGACCACGUUCCUCUCCGGCAGCGUCACCGACACCCGCCCAUCGAACGAGAAGGUGACGAUUGGCACAGAGAUGGUCACGUUGUAGAACGUGUUGAAGCCACCGAGGGGACCUGCCACCGGCGCUCGCACCCUGCUCUGGAACACGUCACGCACGACGGCGUACACGGGCGCGGACAGCCGCGUGAACAUCGUCCCGGCUUCGACGAUGGUGUCGCGGCCGCUGGCCGGUUCGAACGCGAGGGCCGACGCGGGUACCGGCACGGGCCUGCCACCGACGCGGAUCCUGACCAUGUUGACAUAGUAGAGGGAAUGGCGGUGCGGGUUGGACAGCAGCGGUGUCGUCUUGAUCCUCUUCGGCUGGCCGGCGGGGCCGAGCCAAAGCGUGCCGGAGAAGUUGGAGGAAUUGUAGCUCGGCAAGCAGUAGGAGAAGUCGGAGCCGUACACGUCCUUAUUCUGCGACGGGAACGAGAGCAGCCCGCGGCCGAAUCCCACGAGCCCCUGCGGCGGUACGGAGCCGCCCAUGACGACGCGGAGGCACCCGAACGUGUAGGCCGCGACGGCAUCCACAUCGUCGUGGAGGGCCAGCGCGUCCUGCCCGAGCAGGGCCUAGAACGUGGACGCCGUGUACGACAGGUUGAACGCGCACGACGAGCCCGGGCCCCCUGGGCACGACGGGGCGGGAGCCUGCGAGCACUGCGGCACCCCGCAGCGCACGGGGCGGUACGUGGACGACCUCGUCGGGUCGAACGACGACGCCCAGGCGCAGCCCACGCAGGCGUCGCACGGUACCCACGCGACGUCGUUGCUGGGGUCGAUGGCCACGAGGAGCGCCUACGCCGGCGUACCGAGGCGCGUGCGGGCCACGUAGCUGGGGAUGCUGAGGAGCUGCCGGCCCGGAGCGAUCGGCACGAAGGACCGUAGCGGGAGCGAGGCGUGGCAAUCGGACGGUUGAGACACAGGCGGGGUUGAUCCGGCAAUUGGACGGUCGAGAUGGAGGGGGCAUGGUUGUGCCUAGUCUACACUAUUGCCUUAAGGAUUAGUAGAGAUGUGUAUAUCACAAAUACAAAGACUAAGAAGUGAACUUCUUUGUACGUCAAAAGCUCCAUGUUAAGGUUAGCAUGAUCUGAACAAAAGAAACGAUGCUUAAUAUAUAUAGAGAUUAGGGAAAUAUAUCGAGACGUAUCCAAUAACAUCUCGCAGAUACAAUCUCAGAGGGUGAUCAGGGUAAUAUAGGUCCAUAUCUGAAAUACUUACAUUAGGAUGGAAGUAAGCAUAAAUCAUUCCAAUAAUCCAUAUGUAUCGAUCGAGGCCAGAUCUGAAAUGCCACUCAUGUAGCAGGGGUAAGUGUGCCUUGGAUGGUGAUGGAUCUUUAUAGCCUCAAUAGAAAAUAAUUAAGGUUGGUCCUGAACUCCUGGGCAUGACUGGUAGGGAGAAUGUCAUACAAAACUACAUCAAUAACUUACCUAGCAGAAACGUAAAGGGGGCCCACAAUAAUUCAAAUACCCCAGGGAUUUCCCAUAUCAAAAUUACAGACAAGAAGUAGCAAGCAAUCUUAAUAGUCAUGAUUGAUGGUACCUCAUUGCAUUUGUUAAACAGACCAAGUGAUCCAUAUACCAUAAGAGUAAAUAGUGUGUGCAUUGGGCAUAUAUAAUAGAGCAUGAGAUCAUUGUCAAGGACAAUGCAACAGAAUGCCACAAAGAAAUUUAACCUCCACAUCAUCUGCAUGGAAAGUAUAGUUAUUGGUCUAGUGCUUAAAAGGCGGUAAUAAGAAAUACAGGAGACUAAACUCAUUAGGACAUAGAACAAAAUAAGACUGAUGAGGUAGCAUAGGCACCUGAGCAAAUCUUGCAAUACUAAAAUCUUUCUUGAUAUAGUUAUAGGAGAAAUUCCCAAAUCCAGUCAUCCAGACAUAGUAAGCAAUGAACACACGGAUUGCAUUGUAUAUCUCAGAAGCAGCAAAAUAAUGGUACACUCUUGCAAAUUGGCCUCCAGGUAAGAUAUCAGCUUCAGAAGACGCCUUCCAAAAGGGGUCAUUCUCUCCAAGUGUUCCUGAUCCUGAUCAUUAGAACUUCUGAAAGUAUCAUGAUCACUGCUGUAUUCAGCCAAUAGUGCAUCAAGUGUCUCAAUGUAAACAACCAGCAACCUCAAAUAGUUACAUAGCGUGUCAUUGGGUGGAUUUCCCCAGCUGUCAUCACCCUCCUUGAGGUCUCUUGCUGUAACAUCUUCCCAAACUCAAAUAGGUUACCCCACAUGGCAUCCCCAAGCCUAUGAAGAAUGGCUUGCACGUCACUGAUCACGCCAUCCCUAGAACAUCCUAUGCACAAGUCCUUCAUUUCAGGGAUCACCUCUGCAAGUGCCUCAUACAUGUCAAGGAUCCAAGGGACCUUCUCUAGCGAGCGGGGGCACACCGCCACAGCACCCCCAAAGCUAAGAAUUUGCAUAAUGCAUCCUUUGGUGGACUCAAGGAAGCACACAUACAUAAGUUCAUCAGACGCAUCGAGCACCUGGUCACAGAGGCAACGCUCACCAGCCAGCAGCACGCGCACGACCGUCUUGACCCCGUGCACCCACUUCUUCAUCUUGUCGUUGAGCAGCUUCCACUCGAUGCCUUGCACAUUGUCGAUGCUGAGGCGCUCGACGCCAAGCACGGAGAGGUACUCGUCGAGCAAGUCGUGGCAGGUCCCGCGCACGCCAUCCGGUGGGCGAUGGCGCGCAGGUCUUUGACAGCCUCGGGGCGCACGGGAUCGAACACCUAGUCCUCAAAGGGAUUAGAUCUGAGGGAGGCGCCGCGUGCGGUCUCCGGGCCGGCGGGGUUGGCGUCGAGGCUAUGUGGCGUGGCGGCGUCGAAGUCGGGGCAGGUGUCGAGGUCGUCCAUGGACUCGAGCGAGAGGCGACGGAGCGAGAAGAAGAGGCCUAUAAGGUCGAUGGGGACGGCGUGGCGGACCAUGAGGUGGUGCAGCUCCUCCUCGAGGCGCACCAUGGCGAGCUAGACGGCGACGCCGGCCCGCGCGCCGCCGGGGCCGCCGCGCGCAAGGUUUUCGAUGGCGACAUCCAAAGCGGCGAGGUACUGCACGAUGUCGUCCUCGGGAGCUAAAUUCUAGGAACUGCAAGCAGCUGUAACACAAAAGCUGCACGCUCUCCAACAAAUCAUCCAGCCCCGCUCCGCACCAGAGAUACCUGUUGAUGAGCACAAGCAUGGCUGCCUCAUGGAUGGAGCCCCUCCUCUUGUGCCUGCGCUCGGCGAGUCGCUGGUGUGGGGUCGGAUAGCAACGAGCGGGGUGGCCGGGCGCGGCCUGCUUUUGCCCAGUCGCUGAUCAAACGGUGGCUCUCCUCUCCUGCUGUCGGCCGAGGAUUCCUUCUUUCGGCUCUCAGCUAGCAGCUGGCUCACGCUCCUCGGCAGACAUAGAGAUGAUGCUAUGCCACACUCUCGCGAAGAACAGAGAUGGUGGUUGGGCGCUGUUGUUUUUUCCCAACGAAGGGCAUGGCCGCGCGAGAUGGAGGCGGACGCGGGGGCUGCUGCGUGCAAUGGCGGUGGGGGUUGGGGCGGGACGCGGGGGCUGCUGCGCGCAAUGGCGGCGGGGGUUGGGGCGGGACGCGGUGGCUGCUGCGCGCAUGGCCGAGUGCUCGUGGCGGUGGGUGCGGCUGCGGUAGCGAGAGGACGCAAUCGGACUGUUUCGGAUGGAGGCGGGGUUGGAAAUCGGACGGUUGAGAUGGGGGCGGGGGCAUGGUUGUGCUAGUCUACACUAUUGCCUUAAGGAUUAGUAGAGGCUUAUAUUUUCUAAGGUUUGGUAUUUACUUAUACUUAGUAAUUGCUAAUAAAAUUUUGACCAACUUAUAAAAGCAAUUCUCAGCUUCAGCCUUUAUUUUUGUUGAUUAGCCUUACACUUCACAUGAACUCCCACCUUUGGUGAGUUCAUGCACAUUAUUACCCACGACUUGUUGAGCUAUGAUGGUAAGUGAGCUCACUCUUGCUGUCUCACACCCCCCCCCACAGGAGAAGAUCAAGUGGUUCAAGUGGAGCCACGUAUCGAGGAGUUCGAUUCGAUCUAGGUGGCGUCUCCCAGUUGACUUUCUAGCGCCAAGGACGAUCCUGAGUCCGUUUUAUAUUUAUAAUUUAUUUUGUAAGUCUUCCUCUAUGUAAUAAGUACUCUGAUUAUAUUGUGACAUUUAUCUCUAUACACUCAGUUAUUAUAUAUGUUGUCUUCUUUGGCACAUGUAUGAGAUGCACCUGGCUUUGUCCCUUAAAGCCCGGGUGUUACAACCUGCCCGUGGAUUGACCUCCUCACGCGACCUGAGACGUGGUCUCCCAUUCCGGUUAUGGUGGGUACAAGUGCGGUCACUGCACGACGGCAGUCAGGGUCAGUGAGGCAUUGUACGCCAAGGUAGUGGGCCUCUUUCUGUUGACGGGGAAUCGAUGGGGACGGUUGAUGUGUGUGGAGACGGAGUGCAUCGCCACGUCAUGUGUUUAGGUUUACCUUGCAAGGUUUAAAACUCGAUUCGAAUCGUCUGCUUCUCGCAGCUAAUGAGACUGCUUGAUCCAUGCUGCUACAUUGAGUAAGAAGUUGAAUGAGGUGACAUUCAAAAGAUGUUGAUUGCAAUAAUGUUUGGUACCAUGUAUGAAUAGCUAGGUACUCACCUAGUCUAAAGGAUUAUAAUAAAACUUGAAAAGCUAAAAUUUGUUUUUAGACCCAGCUAGUGCUUUUGGCAAACCAAACCCCUCAGCCAAAUGGCUGCAUGUCUAGAGGUAGAGGAGUAGACUUCUCACAACGUGUAAGUCUAGCUAAGUAUUAGUAUACUCAGCCUUGCUUGUGGCACAAUUUUAUAGGUACUCUGGAGGAUAUGGUUGUUGGAGUGACUUGGCCGUCCACCUUGCCACCAGGUUGGACAGUCGAGUGGGACCCUACCUCAGCAAGAGAGGUGCAUGAGGAGUGAUGGGCUAGGCUUCCCCAUCCUCCAUUGUCUUUACCGUUAGUUAAUUUCUGCUGCAUCAAGAACAAUGGUUACUACUUUUGCAAAAA